rnacentral:rRNA from 1 species
GACUGAGACACUGCCCAGACUCCUACGGGAGGCUGCAGUAACGAAUAUUCCACAAUGGGCGAAAGCCUGAUGGAGCAAUGCCGCGUGCGGGACGAAGCACUUCGGUGUGUAAACCGCUGUCAGGGAUCACCAAGCAACGGAGGUUAACAGCCUCCCGCGUUGAGGCGUCCCAGAGGAAGCCACGGCUAACUUCGUGCCAGCAGCCGCGGUAAUACGAAGGUGGCGAGCGUUGUUCGGAAUCACUGGGCUUAAAGCGCAUGUAAUGCGGCCGUGCAAGCGUCUUGUGAAAUCCCCCGGCUCAACCGGGGAAUGGCUGGGCGAACUGCACGGCUUGAGGCAGGGAGGGGUGCGUGGAACUCUUGGUGGAGCGGUGAUAUGCGUAGAUAUCAAGAGGAACGCCGGAGGCGAAAGCGACGCACUGGACCUGUCCUGACGCUGAGAUGCGAAGGCCAGGGGAGCGAACGGGAUUAGAUACCCCGGUAGUCCUGGCAGUAAACGAUGCCUACUAGGUCGGAGGUCUUCUGACAGGGUUCCGGCCGGAACUAAAGCGUUAAGUAGGCCGCCUGGGGAGUAUGGUCGCAAGGCUAAAACUCAAAGGAAUUGACGGGGGCUCACACAAGCGGUGGAGCAUGUUGCUUAAUUCGAUGCAACGCGAAGAACCUUAUCCUGGGCUUGACAUGAUCGGAUGCCCGCCUGGAAACAGGUUGGGUUGCCCUUCGGGGUGGAACGAUCACAGGUGCUGCAUGGCUGUCGUCAGCUCGUGUCGUGAGAUGUUGGGUUAAGUCCCGUAACGAGCGAAACCCUUGUCGCUAGUUGCCAGCGCGUCAUGGCGGGGACUCUAGCGAGACUGCCGGUGUGAAACCGGAGGAAGGUGGGGAUGACGUCAAGUCCUCAUGGCCUUUAUGCCCAGGGCUGCAAACGUGCUACAAUGGCCGGUACAAACCGACGCGAGACCGCGAGGUGGAGCAAAUCGGAAAAAGCCGGCCCCAGUUCGGAUUGGAGUCUGCAACUCGACUCCAUGAAGUUGGAAUCGCUAGUAAUCGCAGAUCAGCCACGCUGCGGUGAAUGUGUUCCUGAGCCUUGUACACACCGCCCGUCAAGUCAUGGAAGCCGGGAGCACCCGAAGUCGGCUCGAUU